UAAGUGGCUUGGCUGUUGUUUCCUGCAUUUGGCCACAUGGCUCUCAUCUGCUUUUCUGGUUAUUGGAUUUACUGCAUGUUUAUUUGGCCUUGGGAUUGUUUGCCUGCUCUUUACUGAUUUUGUUGCCUGUGUUUAUGGACUGCUAUUUCCUGGUUUUGCUCUCUGCCUGCUGGAUGUCCAUGACAAAGCCAAAAGCCUCCCCUGUGGGGGUGUGGGAGAGGAUGGAGGGAGAGAUGUGAGACAAAGAGACUGCAUAAGCUGUGAUUCUGUUUGGCUCCAAAUGACUCAGCAAGAUGCCAUACUUGCAACGAAGCGACAUGGAGAGAACAUACCUGGGAACAAGGAUUGGCGCUUUCAACCCAGUUUGAAAUCAUCAUGCUACAGAAAGAGAACUUUUUUUUAACUAGCUUGUGCCUGCAGAUGUAUGUAUAACCACUGUUCUCUUCUUAAGCUGCUGGAAAUUAAUGAACAAAAAAAAAUAAAUUUAACUGAUAGGAAUGACAAAUGAAUUCUUGAGCACUAACAUGACUGUUCCUGGCUUUUUGGUGCCCAAAGCAAAUAACAUUUUCCAUCCCAAUUUGUAAAAAAAAAAAAAAUAAACCCCACAACUGCCACUUGGCAGCUGAAUGCUGAAGACAAUGUUGAAGAACCUUAAGCUGCAGUUCCUCUUAUAGCCACUAGAUGCUGGAUCAAAGACAACUCCCAUUGUAAGUAAGUAGGGAAACUCCCAACUUCACAUAGAAAUGAAGCAGCAGGUUAGCAUAAUUUUUACCUACAGCAACUUGUAUUUUUGUUAUAGGUUAGAUAUUAUGUUGUGUCCCUAGACAGUCCUAAAUAUCUGAAUGGAGUAAUAAUAUAGAGAUGCCAAACCAGAAGCACCAAAGAAUUACUCAAGCAGUACUUUCAACCUUGAUGACAAGUGUCUAGGUGUACUCAUUUCGUUCCUGAGCGCACUCCUCAAAGAUUGUCAUGCUGCUUCAGAGAUGUAAUCUGUGAGGGGGGAAACAAGGUAACCUUUGUCUAAUUCUAUGGAUACUAGAACAGUUUUGCUUGUUAACCAUGUAUGUGCUCAUGCCUCUGCAUAAAUUAUGAUUUAUCACACAAACUCCCAACAGUUGUCAACCAUGUCACCAUGAUGAAUAUUGAUUGUCCACUUUAGGUACAGGUCAAGCAUGUCUUCAGGCAAUGCUUGACCUCAUUCAUGGUAAAACUAGCAAUUCACUCCGGGAUGAAAAGUUUCUUACAAAAUCAUUCAUUUAAAAAGGAAAGACAUCUAUCACGGUGGAAUAUACUUAUUUUUUAUUUUAGAUCGACCCCUUGCAGUUCCUACUUAAUUUCAGCAAUGCUCUGGAUUAUUUCAACUUGUUUCUUUAGUAAUUAUUCACUGAGGACCAGCAGCAGACACAGCAGUUUUCUGAGUCAGUGUGGCUUGUGGAGCAGUGCCUAGCAAAUUUGGUUUAACACAUUCAGUUUUAACCAUUUUUACAUUGCUGACGAAGUCUGUAGUUUCUACACCAUUAUUACGGUAAAACUUGUGUUAUGUACUAUAUAUGUUGGUGGCCCCUGCCUCCUCUGACGGAGUUGUGCUCUCAGUCGCUAUCAGGCAAUACCGCUUUCUGAGACGUCUCACCAAUAAUUGCUGCUAUUUUGUCAUCUAUGGAUGACACUGAAGUCAUCCAUAGAUGUCAGUACCCCCCUCCUGUGGCACUGACAUAUCUUUUAUGUUCAGCAAUCCUGUUUUUUGCAAUCACUUUCAGGUCAAUCCAUUUUUUUCUUCACCUGUGCCAGACUUCUUGGGCUGUUAUUUUUCUUCUUCUUUUUUUUCUUGGACAAGCCACUUGUGAAAGUGCCAGAUAAAACGUUUUGCUUUAGAGGACCCUCAUUUAGCAGUAGCUCAACCUCAUUGUCAGUGAAGUUUGUCCUCUAUGUGGGUCUUAUUUGCUCUCUUUUUCCAGAACAACUAGAUCUACAUUUAGCGUACUAGAGUUUUAAGGGGAUACCUUUUACCAUAUAUUACAAUUUGGGUGGGAGUGUUUUACUAUAUAAUUUUUUUUGUGCAUUAGCAGAUGGAUGUGGGAUUUAUCACUAUUUAUAGCAUAUAGAUGUACUUUUGAUUGAAGGGGUACACCAGCGAUAUAGCAUUGCACUUCCAUAAAGUUGGAGAAAUAAAAAAAAAAAAAUAAGGUCACAAUCGAAGCAACAGCAUCUUUUAUUGGACCCUCACUGCUCAUGUUAUUCAAACUACACGCCCCCAGUUUGUUCACAGGCUAAACAUUUGUAGGCUCCAAGCCCAAGAUGAGUUAACCCUGAUGACAUCAUAAUAGCCACGUUUACAGAUGGGUGGGUUUAACCUUAAACCGAUCAAAAGAAGAAUUGUACUAAGUAAACGAUUAACCCGAUUACUGUCUGGCUGCAUUUUUUCUGGGCAUUCCCUCCGUCGUGAUGUAAAUGCAUGUAGACAUACACUUCUCCAUCCACUUCCAAAAAAAGUA